rnacentral:rRNA from 1 species
UUGAUCCUGGCUCAGAACGAACGCUGGCGGCAGGCUUAACACAUGCAAGUCGAGCGCCCCGCAAGGGGAGCGGCAGACGGGUGAGUAACGCGUGGGAAUCUACCCUUGACUACGGAAUAACGCAGGGAAACUUGUGCUAAUACCGUAUGUGUCCUUCGGGAGAAAGAUUUAUCGGUCAAGGAUGAGCCCGCGUUGGAUUAGCUAGUUGGUGGGGUAAAGGCCUACCAAGGCGACGAUCCAUAGCUGGUCUGAGAGGAUGAUCAGCCACAUUGGGACUGAGACACGGCCCAAACUCCUACGGGAGGCAGCAGUGGGGAAUAUUGGACAAUGGGCGCAAGCCUGAUCCAGCCAUGCCGCGUGAGUGAUGAAGGCCCUAGGGUUGUAAAGCUCUUUCACCGGAGAAGAUAAUGACG